CGUUGGUACAUUACAGAAAAUCUAUAAACAUCUAAGGGGAGCCCAGAAAUAAACGAAGCCCUUUUUUAACUAUGGCGAUGUGUGUAAAACCCAUCAUUGUUUGAAUGGCAGAUUAGUACUGCUUCCUUCUAUUAGUGGAACCUUUCGGUCUUCCUCUACCCCUCUUGACAGGUUCGCCAUCAAGUAGCUUCGGCACUCCUCUUCCUUCAUCAUGCGUCUCCAUCUUCUUCCCCUUCUUAUUCAAAGAUCCCUUGGGUCGUCCCCUUGGCCGCUUUUCUGACGAAUCAGCGGGUCGUAGUGCAACUGAAUUCUCAGCCGCAAAACCUUCCUGCACUCGACCCCUGUUCGACCCCUUUGGUCUUCCCUUUCCCUCCCUUUCCCGACUGUCCGCCUCACCUGCCGGGUGAGAAGAUUCCGCCAAAGUAUCUUCAACAGCAGCCUCUUCAUCAGGAUUCCCCUCAUAACUUCGGUCUGAGGCAUCAAUUCGCGGUCGUUUGGGUGACCGCUCUUGUUCGCUCUCUGGAUCGGAAACGGAUACGGCUAUCAUUUGAGUCGCAUUUCCUUGAACCCUUUGGCUAUGCGGCCCUUCAAGGUGAUUGGCAUUUUUCGCCGAAGGCCAAUAUCUUGAUGCGGGGCCGGUGCGUUGUUUACAUUUGUCUUGUUCAUGUGAAGACUGAACAGUGACCGGAGUAGUAGUGGUUAUGGGAUGUUGGUUCUUGAGCCAAAGGGAGCGAAGAGUAAAAUAGUACAGAAUGCAGGACAAGAAGCGACAUACCUCGUGUCACUUCGGGAACUUGUUCUUCACGAGUCCAUUCCGGAUCGAUUGCAUACUUCGAUUUAUACCACCCCUCUUUCAUCCUUUUGACCAACCUAAUGCAUCAAGAAUCAGUCAUCGUCCUGUGUUUUACCCUCUUCAGCAAGACCACUCACAGAUGCAGACGAUUCCGCACAGGAUGAACCAUCCCGCUUGUCCAUUUAUCCGUUGCCUCCCACCCAUUUGCUGAUCUUCGCACCCACCCCUGUACUUCUUUGUCUCUCAUCCAAGGCUCUUGCUUCAAGACUUCAAGACAAAGUUCGCGCUCGAUGAGCCAACGAUCCCCUGUAUUGUUGCCGAAGAUACAAGCACUAUACCUCGAGUUGGCUGCAAUAAGAUUCACGAGGUGAUUAGUGAGACGGGGUUCAGAAUCCCAGCUGAGGACUGUCAGUAUAAAUGUGUAUGUGCAUCAAGGUUAUGGACAUACUUAAUGCGAAUGUCCUUGUUCUGGAC
rnacentral:sRNA from 1 species